UACGGGGGGGAGCAAGCGUUGUUCGGAUUUACUGGGCGUAAAGGGCGCGUAGGCGGUUCGGUAAGUCCUGUGUGAAAUCCCUCGGCUCAACUGAGGAACUGCACGGGAGACUGCCGGGCUUGAGUUCGGGAGAGGGAAGCGGAAUUCCGGGUGGUAGCGGUGAAAUGCGUAGAUAUCCGGAGGAACACCAAUGGCGAAGGCAGCUCGCUGGGACGGUACUGACGCUGAGGCGCGAAAGCGUGGGGAGCAAACAGGG
rnacentral:rRNA from 1 species